rnacentral:rRNA from 1 species
AGGACGAACGCUGGCGGCGCGCUUAACACAUGCAAGUCGAGCGAGAACCUGGCCUUCGGGCCUGGGGAAAGCGGCGAACGGGUGAGUAACACGUGGGUAACCCACCCUUGGUACCGGGAUAGCCCGAGGAAACUCGGAUUAAUACCGGAUGGCCCAACAGCUCUUCGGGGCGGUUGGAAAAGGUAGCUUCGGCCUCCGACCAAGGACGGGCCCGCGGCGGAUUAGCUUGUUGGUGAGGUAACGGCUCACCAAGGCGACGAUCCGUAGCUGGUCUGAGAGGACGAUCAGCCACACUGGGACUGAGACACGGCCCAGACUCCUACGGGAGGCAGCAGUGGGGAAUCUUGCGCAAUGGGCGAAAGCCUGACGCAGCGACGCCGCGUGGGGGAAGAAGGCUUUCGGGUUGUAAACCCCUUUCAGGAAGGACGAAGCCACUCGGGUGAAUAGCCCAGAGGGUGACGGUACUUCCAGAAGAAGCCCCGGCUAACUACGCGCCAGCAGCCGC